AUGGAGAAGUCUCUAAAAGAGUCUCGAGGGAGUCAGAAAAAGGCUGAGUACGACCUCUUUGUGGCACGCCUUGAGAAUCUUGAUCUUUCCAAGGAGUUAUCCAAGUCAACAAAAGAAAAUUACUAUGUUUCCAGGGAUGUCUUUGUGAGUGCCUUGAAACAUGUGGAUUAUUUUUAUGCUACCGUGUCAAUCUCCCGAGAGCAAGUUCGUCUUGAUCAAGAUAUCAAAAAUGGGAUGGUGGCCUCCUUGAUAGAUUAG